UGCAUUUAUGUGCAUAUCUACAGAUUUGAAAUUAAGUUCAGGAUCUCCAAUGUGUAAGCAGUGAAAAGAAUCUAUGCAUCCAAGAAGUAUCCAGUUGCUGUGACCAAGUCUUCCUUUCCUCCAGGACCAGCAGGAGGCCUUUCUUAAACUCUAUUCUCCUAUCAAGUAUAAGCUGUUCCCAAACAUCAAAGAGGUCUACCAAGCAUUCUUUGGUUUGUUUGCUUGUUUACUUGAAAGCAAAACAUUAAAAACUUGAGAUGAAAGCAUGCCAUUCUAAAACAUAUUUGGCUCAAAGAAAAAGAUGCUUCCCAGGACUACAAAAGAUCCUUCUUUAAUGAAACUUUAAACUUUGCUUUAAUUUGGAUCACAAUGAAGAAAAUAAGGACUUUUCAUCUUGCCCCUUGUGGAAAGUAUCAGUGUCUCCCAUG
rnacentral:lncRNA from 1 species